CCCAUAUUUACUAAAGUUCGUAGACGUAGACGUAAACGUACGAUUUACGUCUGACUUAAGAUUAGAGUUAGGUACUCGUGAAAUGGUAUUUACAAAACCGUUCGUAGCCGCAAACGUAACUUACGAUGUACGAUUGCACUUACGCGUGCGCAAUGGCUAUUUUCACUUCGAAGCGUAAAAAGUGUGAAUUUGCUCAUUUACUUUGACUUCCCUGCGCUACCGCAGCAUUAUGACGGAAAAGAACACAGAACUUUGUGAGAAAGCAACGAAUUUCAACGUAUACGUAUGCCUGCCAACGGCAUGUCGAUCAACUGUACCGUUAUUCAGUGUUGUUUACAAAUCCAAAUGGAAGGUUCAUCAAAUUUAACGCAUUUGACUUGUGCAUGGAUCUGCGAUGUUGUAGGUGUUCAAAAAGAAGUCGGCAUGGACUGACAAGGUCAUAAAGGUGGUCAAGAAAUAAAUUGCCAACAGACAGCAGCAUUCCUUGAUUUAGAUGCAUUUCUCUUCAUGUCCUCUCCUGAAAGAUUUUCCAUGACGCCUCAGGGUUAGGAUUGGGAUGCAAGAUGUACAGUACAUAUAUAUGAUGUCUAUGGGUACAUUGCUGUAAUGGCCUGAAAAAUCUUUUGCGAAACCGAGAAAUGUUCAUCUUCCAUUGCCUUGAUUGUGUAAAAGGACGAGCAGAGGAAUGAUUCAAAAAUAUAUGACAGGAUUGAGAAUCUAACCCAUGACCCGUAGUCUGGUACUCUACCCACUGAUCAAUCCAUGCUGAUGGUCCAUCUGCUACAUUUAUGUCAUCUUAUAUAUUUAUUUAUUCAUUUAUAUCAUAUGGACAUUUAAAAAUUGACAGUAAAAUAAAAAAAGUUUGAUAUUCAGCAAAAUAGAAUUUGUUACAAUACAUGUUUAAGAAAUUAAGUACAUGUAUAUGCAUUGUUAUGCAUACAAUUACAUGUAUGUACAUGUAAUUAUAUUUGUUAAUAGAUAACUUUUUAGAUGAA